CUUUGUUGAACUAUAAGUGUGUAAGGCGAUACAACUCCAAUUUUUCCAGUAUGACACUUUCAGGAGACAUGCAAGAAAUUUUUGGAGCCAACCAUUAUCCAUAAAUGGAACAACGACCAAGCUAUGUUCCAGGAUCUCCAACACAAAAGGAAGGUUGCAGUUGGUGGUGACAUGCGUGCGGACUCGCCUGGUCACUCUGCCAAAUUUGGAAGUUACACACUCAUGCACCUGGAGAACAACAAGAUAUUUGAUCUUCAACUUGUGCAGAGCAAUGAGGUCGGUGGUAGUUACCACAUGGAAAAGGAGGGACUGAAGCGAUCUCUAGAUUGUUUGGAAUCUAAUGGUUUGGAGGUUGAUUACAUUGUAACAGACCGCCAUCCAUAGAUUCGGAAAUAUCUGAGAGAACACAGCAUCACCCAGUUCUAUGAUGUUUGGCACUUUGAAAAGGGUCUGUCAAAGAAAUUGAAUAAACUUGGACAGAACAAAGACUGCCAGGUGGUGAAGAAGUGGCUCCGUUCCAUAAAGAACCACAUUUACUGGAGCGCAACAUCAUCUACAUCAGGACCAGAGAAGGUGGCCAAGUUCACAUCCAUGUUCAACCACAUUCAGGAUGUGCAUGAGCAUGAAAACUCUCUCUUUCCUGAGUGUACUCAU